AGGAUGAACGCUGGCGGCGUGCCUAAUACAUGCAAGUCGUGCGGCAGCACGGGCUUCGGCCUGGUGGCGAGCGGCGGACGGCUGAGUAACGCGUAGGAACGUACCCCAAAGUGAGGGAUAACUGCCCGAAAGGGUAGCUAAUACCGCAUAUGGUCUUCGGAUUAAAGCUUUUAGCGCUUUGGGAACGGCCUGCGUUCGAUUAGUUUGUUGGUGAGGUAAUGGCUUACCAAGACGAUGAUCGAUAGCUGGUCUGAGAGGAUGAUCAGCCAGACUGGGACUGAGACACGGCCCAGACUCCUACGGGAGGCAGCAGUAGGGAAUUUUCCACAAUGGGCGAAAGCCUGAUGGAGCAACACCGCGUGCAGGAUGAAGGCUUUCGGGUCGUAAACUGCUUUUCUAUGUGAGGAUUAUGACAGUAGCAGAGGAAUAAGGAUCGGCUAACUCCGUGCCAGCAGCCGC
rnacentral:rRNA from 1 species